rnacentral:rRNA from 1 species
UAAGAAUGGUUCAAGCUUUAAUCGUAAGUACUGGGCGUAAAGCGCGCGUAGGUGUUUCGUUAAGUUGGAUGUGAAAGCCCCGGGCUCAACCUGGGAACUGCAUCCAAAACUGGCGAGCUAGAGUAUGGCAGAGGGUGGUGGAAUUUCCUGUGUAGCGGUGAAAUGCGUAGAUAUAGGAAGGAACACCAGUGGCGAAGGCGACCACCUGGGCUAAUACUGACACUGAGGUGCGAAAGCGUGGGGAGAAAACAGGAUUAGAUAACCGCGUAGUCC